rnacentral:rRNA from 1 species
GAUGAACGCUGGCGGCGUGCCUAAUACAUGCAAGUCGAGCGAACAGACGAGGAGCUUGCUCCUCUGACGUUAGCGGCGGACGGGUGAGUAACACGUGGAUAACCUACCUAUAAGACUGGGAUAACUUCGGGAAACCGGAGCUAAUACCGGAUAAUAUAUUGAACCGCAUGGUUCAAUAGUGAAAGACGGUUUUGCUGUCACUUAUAGAUGGAUCCGCGCCGCAUUAGCUAGUUGGUAAGGUAACGGCUUACCAAGGCAACGACGCGUAGCCGACCUGACAGGUUGAUCGGCCACCGUGGAAAUGAGAACCGGUCCAGACUCCUACGGGAGGCAGCAGUAGGCAAUCUUGAGCAAUGGGCGAAAGCCUGAAGGAGCAAGGAGGCGUGAGUGAUGAAGGUCUUCGGAUCGUAAAACUCUGUUAUUAGGGAAGAACAAAUGUGUAAGUAACUAUGCACGUCUUGACGGUACCUAAUCAGAAAGCCACGGCUAACUACGUG